CAAAAACAACAAAAUACAUAAAUCAUAACAUAUGUAAAUCAUAACAAAAAUGUCACACACUUUUCACAAGCUAUUCUGAGGAUUUCUUGUAAAAUAAAAAUUUUUUAAAAUGCCAGAUUCAGCUCUGAAGGACUGGGAACAAAGCAAAAAAAUGACAAAAACUACACUAUGAAGAGGAAUAAUGAAGUCACGUGCUUCAGACUCUCCCCUCUUUCACCUCUUUUUGUUAAAACAAAGAGAAAUAUAAAGUGCAGGACACAUUCAGAUGCAGAGAGCUCCUUUCUGCACACACACAUACUGUAAAAGUCUCUAUGGAGAGCUCAGCCCUUUUUUCCUUCUCCUCCAUUCUGGUGUUUUUUGUUUUUUUUAAGCUCCUAAUAAAAAGGUGUAGAUCCCAGAUUCAAGAACUUCAACUAAACACAGCACAUACGACAGCCUGCACAGAGCACUUGUGUAAGGAAAAUGGUGGUUUUGGGUGAUAAGAACAUAAAGACAAUCACAGAACCAGAGAAAAAAUAAAUACAAGAAAGUCAUGUAAAAAGAAUUCGGUGUGUUAUGAACAGUUAUCACCCGAGGAAAAUGAGCUGAUGAGUAAAAACGGACAGAUGUGGUGCCGUCUCACGUUACUAAUCUCUCCUGCACUCAGUAACUGGAUCUUGUUUAUUGACAUUUACACCAUAUGCUAAAAUUGAGCUGUUUUUGUCCCUUUAAAAGACAUAUUUGCAUCAAAGCGGAGUUCUUUGCCAGUUAAUAUAUUGUCUCGCAUACUAAAAAGCAUGCACUAUUACUGAUUAUUCAUGUUUCCUUGUGUCAAGCCACUGAAAUUCACAAACAACUGACGAUUGUCCUGAAAAGCUGAACUAUUUUUGUGACAAAAAUACAAGCCAAUACUGUCCAGUGCACAAUUACUGUAGUGAAUACACUGCUUAUUGUCAUUUUCUGCAAUCAAACAUCCCAACUGAUCUUGUAUUACAACACAUUGUAGGCAUUAUGAGCUGUAUAUUGCAUGAAUUUCUACCAAUUUGCCUGCAAAAUUAUAGUCUCAACAAUCUAGAUAAAACUUCAAUACCAAAGAUGCAUGUUAAUAAUAGAUGGAAAGGGCAUUUUAAGUUUGUUUGCUUAUAAACUUUGCUGUUUUUUAACCUCUCCAGACAACAGUAAGGAAUACAUUUUGAAAAACAGAUAAGAGAUGCUUAAAUUGCAUGAACUGCUCCGCUCCUGAAGCUGUAGUGUGCUCCGUCACACAGCCAAGUGUUCAAACAUAUAAGGCCACGCUGAUAACCAUGACUAUUCUGCAGUUUAAAAUCUGUGUUGUCACAUAAACUAUUCAUUUUAGUGAAGUUGUUAUGCUUAAAAGAACAAAGAGAAGCUGCUCUUCUCCUUCACGACAAGGAAUAGCAACAAUCAGGUAAUGAUACCAUAAGUUGUAUAACAAAAACCAAACAACAUCUGUUAUUGCCUUUCCAUCUGGACCUCCACACACAUUGUAUUAUUUAUGCUCUCCUAUUAUCAGCCUGAGAUACCUGUAAAGUUGUGUGCAGCUCCUUUACAAGCAGCUCAGUUCUGGGCCUGAGAGGCAACAGCGAGGAUGUGACCAGAAAAGAGCUUUUAAGUCCACUCUUACUUCUGGAAAACAGAAAUCCAGGUAAAUACAGGUUGAGAUUCAGACAUUAUUCAGUUACACAUACUCAAACUGCUCUUUACAAAUUAGCAUAAAGUUACCAAGUUUGCUUGGAGUGAAGCAAUUUUUAUAAAACUGAAGGCUUAUGUUGCUUAAACUGAAGUGAUACAAUGCCCAGUUUUUAUCAAUGAUAUGGUACGACAAUGACAAGUCUGAGGCAAACAGAUCUGAUUUACUUCAUUGCAAAUAUGCUCAGAAGUUCCUUGUUAUAGGCAUGUUUCUUACCCUUGAUUUAAAAAUCGCAUAUGAACCACUUGCUUUUUACAGCACCUACUGUAUCCUGGAGCUGUAAAUCAGACAGCUUUACAUUUUACCCCAGAGCAGUUUCCAAUACUGUACAUUUAAAAUGUUCAGCUUUAGUUAAAACUUAUAACUCGAGAUACCAAGCUACUGAUCUGUCAGUGAUGCUCAUCUCAAACUUAACAUGAUUCCUUUAUAGGUCUCAAAUUUCCCCUGACCAGGCUGUAUGGGUUUAGUAUUCCAUAUGUUGUCUGGAUAAAAUUUGCAUUUUUUUUUUUUUUUUUUUUUAAACGAUGAUGUUUCUCUGAUCCAUGAGAAAUAAAAAAAAACUGAAACCUAGAUUUAAGGAUGUAAAAAUUCCCAUCUGUAAAACGAUGCUUAUGGCACGACGUGCAUUUAGCUGGCAAAAGACGCUGCAGGAACCACCUCGCCAGCGGCCCAACCACAGCCACAUGCUAACAGCAACACUGAGAAAUGUGUUUCCUGCUGGCUCUCCAUUGAAAACUGCAGCGUAAAAGACUGAACGUGCCUCCAUUUAUUCCUGCUCUGCAAUUUUUCAGGCUGCUCUGCUGCUUUCAGAGGGCUUACAACUCAUGUUGUUCCUAUAACGGGGAGACGAUGGAGAUGGAAGAAAAGCAGGUGCUGAUCCUACGUUCCUUAAGAUGUUUCCAUCAUGCGUAUGUCGUCUGUCUCUGUGUUGUCGUCUUUUGUCCACCUCCCCUGUGCUUGUCCAAAGUCCAGCCUCUAAACAACGCUUCAUGGAAUACUCCGCC
ensembl:lncRNA